rnacentral:rRNA from 1 species
CCUACGGGUGGCAGCAGUGAGGAAUAUUGGUCAAUGGUCGGGAGACUGAACCAGCCAAGCCGCGUGAGGGAGGAAGGUACAGAGUAUCGUAAACCUCUUUUGUCAGGGAAUAAAGUCUGGGACGCGUCCCCGGAUGAGUGUACCUGAAGAAAAAGCAUCGGCUAACUCCGUGCCAGCAGCCGCGGUAAUACGGAGGAUGCGAGCGUUAUCCGGAUUUAUUGGGUUUAAAGGGUGCGCAGGCGGUCUGUUAAGUCAGCGGUCAAAGCCCGGGGCUCAACCCCGGCCUUGCAGCGCGAACUGGCGUGCUUGAGUCCGCGGAAAGCAGGCGGAAUUCGUCGUGUAGCGGUGAAAUGCUUAGAUAUGACGAAGAACCCCGAUUGCGAAGGCAGCUUGCUGUAGCGGAACUGACGCUGAUGCUCGAAAGCGCGGGUAUCGAACAGGAUUAGAUACCCUUGUAGUC